rnacentral:tmRNA from 1 species
GGGGACGACCGGUAUUGACAGCGGGCUGAGGGUUGGUGUAUAAGCAUGUCGGGAGUUGGAAGAACCUCCCGUUAAAAAUUCUUCUAUAACAAUAGCUGGCAAUUAUAGCUACGCUAUGGCUGCUUAAUCCGACGGAUUAACCAAUAGCCAUCGUCCCGCCGACCCAACGCACUGCCGGGUUGGAGUUCGGGGCGUCGCAAUGCAGUGCCGACCUGGCCCACGGGGUUAAGCCAGACUCGUACCAACUCCUAAGGAAGCCACUUUGGUGCGUUGCCGACCUGGCGGCUUCCCGACAACCCAACGGCAACUAAGCAUGUAGAAGGCACGGCUACUCCCUGUUCUGGACGUGGGUUCGACUCCCACCGUCUCCACUU